rnacentral:rRNA from 1 species
GCGGAGGAUCAUUAUCUAUUCCAUGAGGUGCGGUCGCGGCCCUCGGCGGGAGCAACAGCUACCGUCGGGCGGUAGAGGUAACACUUUCACGCGCCGCAUGUCUGAAUCCUUUUUUUACGAGCACCUUUCGUUCUCCUUCGGCGGGGCAACCUGCCGUUGGAACCUAUCAAAACCUUUUUUUGCAUCUAGCAUUACCUGUUCUGAUACAAACAAUCGUUACAACUUUCAACAAUGGAUCUCUUGGCUCUGGCAUCGAUGAAGAACGCAGCGAAAUGCGAUAAGUAGUGUGAAUUGCAGAAUUCAGUGAAUCAUCGAAUCUUUGAACGCACAUUGCGCCCCUUGGUAUUCCAUGGGGCAUGCCUGUUCGAGCGUCAUCUACACCCUCAAGCUCUGCUUGGUGUUGGGCGUCUGUCCCGCCUCUGCGCGCGGACUCGCCCCAAAUUCAUUGGCAGCGGUCCUUGCCUCCUCUCGCGCAGCACAUUGCGCUUCUCGAGGUGCGCGGGCCCGCGUCCACGAAACAACAUUACCGUCUUUGACCUCGGAUCAGGUAG